rnacentral:rRNA from 1 species
AGCAGCCGCGGUAAUUCCAGCUCCAAUAGCGUAUAUUAAAGUUGUUGCAGUUAAAAAGCUCGUAGUUGAAUUUCGGGGUCAGCAAGUUGGUCGUGCCACUGGUAUGUACUGGCUUUGCUGAUUCCUCCUUCUUGUAGAACCGUAAUGCCAUUAAUUUGGUGUUGCGGGGAAACAGGACUGUUACUUUGAAAAAAUUAGAGUGUUUAAAGCAGGCUAACGCCUGAAUACAUUAGCAUGGAAUAAUGAAAUAGGACGAGCGAUCCUAUUUUGUUGGUUUCUAGGAUUGACGUAAUGAUUAAUAGGGAUAGUUGGGGGCAUUAGUAUUCAAUUGUCAGAGGUGAAAUUCUUGGAUUUAUUGAAGACUAACUACUGCGAAAGCAUUUGCCAAGGAUGUUUUCAUUAAUCAAGAACGAAAGUUAGGGGAUCGAAGACGAUCAGAUACCGUCGUAG